AACGAACGCUGGCGGCAUGCCUAACACAUGCAAGUCGAACGAGACCUUCGGGUCUAGUGGCGCACGGGUGCGUAACGCGUGGGAACCUGCCCCUAGGUUCGGAAUAACUCCCCGAAAGGGGUGCUAAUACCGGAUAAUGUCUUCGGACCAAAGAUUUAUCGCCUUUGGAUGGGCCCGCGUUGGAUUAGCUAGUUGGUAGGGUAAAAGCCUACCAAGGCGACGAUCCAUAGCUGGUCUGAGAGGAUGAUCAGCCACACUGGGACUGAGACACGGCCCAGACUCCUACGGGAGGCAGCAGUGGGGAAUAUUGGACAAUGGGCGAAAGCCUGAUCCAGCAAUGCCGCGUGAGUGAUGAAGGCCUUAGGGUUGUAAAGCUCUUUUACCCGGGAUGAUAAUGACAGUACCGGGAGAAUAAGCUCCGGCUAACUCCGUG
rnacentral:rRNA from 1 species